CAUCAAGUAGGAAGAUGCCUUAGCUGUUAUAUUGUAAAAUUCCAAAGAAAAUCAUUAGGCACGUGGGCCCAUUUAGGGACUUCUGUUUUAUAAGGCAUGUUGGUGUGUAAGUGUAUGAGUAGAACUCCACAAAUUAUACUUAACAUUUACCCUUAAGUAAGCUGAUAAAUCUGCGUGAAAAGAAGCCCAAUUCUCCACUCUUGCUUCCAGCUCUCCUGCUUACAAAGCGAACUGUGUCUGCCAAUUCCCGAAAAGCCAAAGGGGGAAGCUCUUUUUUUUAUAAGCUACCUUUAACUGGCAACAUUUAGUGCACUACACUAAUAUCCUAACAACAUCUUUACAGCAGCCUCAGUCAAGUCCUGCGCAUCCCUUAACCUUCAGGCCUGGGAAGAGAACUUGGCUUGCGGCCACCAGGAGGAGGCUUCUUUGUUUGAUCUGCUACAUCAUAAGCUUACUAGCACGGAGGGAUAGCAUGUCGUUGAACGUGGAAGAACACACCUUCAUCUGUAUUAAUGAAGAAAACUAUUGAAAACCAACAGACUAAUUAAGGGUAAUGAUGAACAAUUUUGAUCAGCCAUUAUUUUUUAAUAUUGAAGUUCGCUCCUGGAAAGAGUAGAAUGGGGAAGUUCGUCUUCCAGCUUCUACCCAGAAAGGUAGCAAGAGAGAUCCUGUUUCAUUUCCAUUUCUUCUCCCACAAACUGUUUUAACAUAUAAUUGAAUCAAUGCCUUUAUUUCAAAAGAAAAAAAAAGUAAUUAUAGAGCUUGUUGGGAUCCUGUAUGAAGAGAGGACAUUAUGCCUGCAUGAAUUCCAUCGGUGAUCUGAAGAGGAGCAGGCUGCUUGGACCAUUACCCAUCAUUGUCGAACAGCAGAGUAAUUAAUUGGGCAAAUACGUCUAGAUCUGGUGAAUUCACAUGCACAGUAACUGGGCAGCAGCAACACACACUCUUUUACUGUGAAUAAAAUAGCAAUAGUUUUCUGUGUCUUUGUGCUAUGUAAAAUGUCUUUUUUUUUUCCUCUUGGCUUUAUCCAUUCCAGAUUAUUUUGUCCAUCUUUAUGUACUCAUUUGAAAAGAGCUUGUUUAUUACAAAGGAAAAAGAUCUGUAGAUGAGCAAGUUUGAAUUCCAUGUCUCCGUUUAUUUCUAAAGGAAUGAAUUCGGUUCAUUAUGAUUUCACUAGCUUUUAGAAUAAUUUAAUAUUUUCACUAAAAUGGGUUAAAUGAGCAUGAGGAAAUAGUUGUAAAUAAAACUACUUUCAGGAAGGGGCGUGCAUCCAAAAUAAUUACUAAUGCCUUUUAAUUACUAUACAAUAUUAACGCAAAAAUUUAACUGUUUAUUUAAAUGUCAUCCACAGAGGUAGAAAAUAAGGCACAGCAUUUGUCCUGGAGAAACUGAUGAAGAAUAUUUCAUCACCAGCCUCUUAUAAGACUCCUCUGUAAAGCAUAGACAAUAAAAAAAAAAUCUAACACUGUUUAUUUGAACAUCAAAAAAGCAGACAAGUAUUUAGAAGAAAAAUAUAUGAUUGUUUUAAUGCAAAUCAUCUCUGACAGCUAAGUCCAAAUGUAAUAAGAAAGCUUAGGUUUUGACUUAAAAUUAAGUCAAUUUUUCAGCAUCUCUACUUCUGAAGAGGUUAAAUGAUGAUUUCCUUUUUUCCUGAUCAUAUUUUAAUCCAGAUAACAGAGGACUUGCACUCCUAAUUCAGACUUUCUGGUAAAGCUCAGCUUGUCACAAUGUAUAGCUUUCUUUCCUUUGAUAAGGUCAGUUUGCCAAAAAGAACAAAGUGCAUAUGAGUAAUACAUUACUCAACCACUUGUAUACAUACAUCUAUUUUUCUUACCAGGUCUCACUAUUCAAAAAGGUACAGACAUGGCACCAUGAUAAAAAGGGUCAUUUAAAAGACUUCGCAGAGGCUCUGUACUGUGAAGGAUUGAAUUUUCACUUGAAUGCCUACAUUUUCACAUCUUUUUCUUUGCAGAAAUAUUCCUUUUGAAUGGCAGACUGCAAUUGGGUAGGUUUUUUUUUUAAGUCACUGACCAGGAAUAUGAAAAAUAUUAGAAGGCAUUUGUCCCAAUGGUAGAACACAGUUCACUACCAGGUACCUGGUGGUUACUAAGAAAGUUAUACAACUUUGUCUCCAGAUUGAAGAGCUCCUUUGGAUAAAAGCCUUAAGUUCAGUCAAGGUGGAAGGAACACUAAGGUCUGCCACUUCUAAAUGACAGACAAUUUGAAUAACUUGCAAAAUCAUUAGCCCCAAAGCCAUCUACCUAGUAAUUUUUCAUAAUCACAUUCAAUGUGUAUUCUUAGGAACACACAAGCAGACUCCAGUUUAUCUUUUUACCUACUCCAACAUUUGAUCACAACGUUUUGAGAAAUAUGCUCAUGACUAAUUUUUAAAAACUCUAAUUUUUCUUUAGUGGUUAUAUAUUUCUCAAAUAUACUUAAAGGGGUGCAGAAGAGAAAGAAGUCUAUUAAAUACAUUAAAAAUCUUAAAUCUUGAUUAUUGGGUUCCGUAAGGAGUUAGUGUAAAUUCAGUUCAGAUGAAUGCAACAAAUAUUUCUUCAUCUCCUACUAUCAGUAUGGUAUUGUGCUAGGAUUACCGGGAGAUACAAAAAUGAAUAAAGUAUCUUCUCUACUCUUAAGAAUUCUAGAAUCUAUA